rnacentral:rRNA from 1 species
UUGCUUUUCUCUGAUGUUAGCGGCGGUACGGGUGAGUAACACGUGGGCAACCUGCCUUUUAGUUUGGGAUAACUUCGGGAAACCGGAGCUAAUACCGAAUAAUACUCUUUCCUUCAUGGGAGAAAGUUGAAAGAUGGUUUACGCUAUCGCUAGAGGAUGGGCCCGCGGUGCAUUAGCUAGUUGGUGAGGUAACGGCUCACCAAGGCCACGAUGCAUAGCCGACCUGAGAGGGUGAUCGGCCACACUGGGACUGAGACACGGCCCAGACUCCUACGGGAGGCAGCAGUAGGGAAUCUUCCGCAAUGGACGAAAGUCUGAUGGAGCAAUGCCGCGUGAGUGAUGAAGGAUUUCGGUUCGUAAAACUCUGUUGUAAGGGAAGAACAAGUAAACGUAGUAACUGGCGUUACCCAUGAC